rnacentral:rRNA from 1 species
UGGGGGAUAUUGCACAAUGGAGGAAACUCUGAUGCAGCAACGCCGCGUGAGGGAAGAAGGUCUUCGGAUUGUAAACCUUAGUAGUCAGGGAUGAAAGAAAUGACGGUACCUGAAGAGUAAGCUCCGGCUAACUACGUGCCAGCAGCCGCGGUAAUACGUAGGGAGCGAGCGUUGUCCGGAUUUACUGGGUGUAAAGGGUGCGUAGGCGGGACUGCAAGUCAGACGUGAAAUACCGGGGCUUAACCUCGGGGCUGCGGUUGAAACUGCGGUUCUUGAGUGAAGUAGAGGCAGGCGGAAUUCCUAGUGUAGCGGUGAAAUGCGUAGAUAUUAGGAGGAACACCAGUGGCGAAGGCGGCCUGCUGGGCUUUAACUGACGCUGAAGCACGAAAGCAUGGGGAGCAAACA